rnacentral:tRNA from 1 species
GGGGUUGUAGCUCAGUGGUAGAGGGAUGGCUUAGUAUGCCAGAGACCCUGGGUUCCAUCCCCCAUACCAAUUAAAAAAAAAAUCAGCUGGCCCCAGCGAGGUUCACCCUGUAAUCCCA